rnacentral:rRNA from 1 species
CGGCGAACGGGUGAGUAACACGUGGGCAACCUGCCUCAAGGACUGGGAUAACUCCGGGAAACCGGGGCUAAUACCGGACGAUGUCGUCUCGUGCAAGCGAGCCGACCAAAGGUAGCUUCGGCCUCCGCCUUGAGAUGGGCCCGCGUCCUAUCAGCUUGUUGGUGAGGUAAUGGCUCACCAAGGCUACGACGGGUAGCUGGUCUGAGAGGAUGAUCAGCCACACUGGGACUGAGAUACGGCCCAGAACUCCUACGGGAGGCAGCAGUGGGGAAUCUUGCGCAAUGGGCGAAAGCCUGACGCAGCACCGCCGCGUGAGCGAAGAAGGCCUUCGGGUUGUAAAGCUCUGUCAGGGGGAAAGAAGGCACCUGGGUUAAUAGCCCAAGGGCUGACGGUACCCCCAAAGGAAGCCACGGCUAACUACGUGCCAGCAGCCGCGGUAAUACGUAGGUGGCAAGCGUUGUCCGGAAUCAUUGGGCGUAAAGAGCGCGUAGGUGGCUUGUCAGGUCUGAUGUGAAAUUUCGGGGCUCAACCCCGAACCUGCAUCGGAAACCGGCUUGCUAGAGUCUGGGAGAGGAGAGUGGAAUUCCUGGUGUAGCGGUGAAAUGCGUAGAUAUCAGGAGGAACGCCGGUAGCGUAGGCGGCUCUCUGGAACAGUACUGACGCUGAGGCGCGAAAGCUAGGGGAGCGAACAGGAUUAGAUACCCUGGUAGUCCUAGCCGUAAACG